rnacentral:rRNA from 1 species
CGGCUUACCAACCCGAUGCAAACUGCGAAUACCGGAGAAUGUUAUCACGGGAGACACACGGCGGGUGCUAACGUCCGUCGUGAAGAGGGAAACAACCCAGACCGCCAGCUAAGGUCCCAAAGUCAUGGUUAAGUGGGAAACGAUGUGGGAAGGCCCAGACAGCCAGGAUGUUGGCUUAGAAGCAGCCAUCAUUUAAAGAAAGCGUAAUAGCUCACUGGUCGAGUCGGCCUGCGCGGAAGAUGUAACGGGGCUAAACCAUGCACCGAAGCUGCGGCAGCGACACUGUGUGUUGUUGGGUAGGGGAGCGUUCUGUAAGCCUGUGAAGGUGUGUCGUGAGGCAUGCUGGAGGUAUCAGAAGUGCGAAUGCUGACAUAAGUAACGAUAAAGCGGGUGAAAAGCCCGCUCGCCGGAAGACCAAGGGUUCCUGUCCAACGUUAAUCGGGGCAGGGUGAGUCGACCCCUAAGGCGAGGCCGAAAGGCGUAGUCGAUGGGAAACGGGUUAAUAUUCCCGUACUUGGUGUUACUGCGAAGGGGGGACGGAGAAGGCUAUGUUGGCCGGGCGACGGUUGUCCCGGUUUAAGCGUGUAGGUGUGUGUUCCAGGUAAAUCCGGUUCACUUUAACACUGAGGCGUGACGACGAGGCACUACGGUGCUGAAGCAACAAAUGCCCUGCUUCCAGGAAAAGCCUCUAAGCAUCAGGUAACAUCAAAUCGUACCCCAAACCGACACAGGUGGUCAGGUAGAGAAUACCAAGGCGCUUGAGAGAACUCGGGUGAAGGAACUAGGCAAAAUGGUGCCGUAACUUCGGGAGAAGGCACGCUGACACGUAGGUGAAGUGAUUUACUCAUGGAGCUGAAGUCAGUCGAAGAUACCAGCUGGCUGCAACUGUUUAUUAAAAACACAGCACUGUGCAAACACGAAAGUGGACGUAUACGGUGUGACGCCUGCCCGGUGCCGGAAGGUUAAUUGAUGGGGUCAGCGCAAGCGAAGCUCCUGAUCGAAGCCCCGGUAAACGGCGGCCGUAACUAUAACGGUCCUAAGGUAGCGAAAUUCCUUGUCGGGUAAGUUCCGACCUGCACGAAUGGCGUAAUGAUGGCCAGGCUGUCUCCACCCGAGACUCAGUGAAAUUGAACUCGCUGUGAAGAUGCAGUGUACCCGCGGCAAGACGGAAAGACCCCGUGAACCUUUACUAUAGCUUGACACUGAACAUUGAGCCUUGAUGUGUAGGAUAGGUGGGAGGCUUUGAAGCGUGGACGCCAGUCUGCGUGGAGCCGACCUUGAAAUACCACCCUUUAAUGUUU